CCUACGGGGGGCUGCAGUGGGGAAUAUUGGACAAUGGGCGCAAGCCUGAUCCAGCCAUGCCGCGUGGAUGAUGAAGGCCUUAGGGUUGUAAAGUCCUUUUAACGGGGAAGAUAAUGACGGUACCCGUAGAAUAAGCCCCGGCUAACUUCGUGCCAGCAGCCGCGGUAAUACGAAGGGGGCUAGCGUUGCUCGGAAUCACUGGGCGUAAAGCGCACGUAGGCGGCUUUCUAAGUCAGGGGUGAAAUCCUGGAGCUCAACUCCAGAACUGCCUUUGA
rnacentral:rRNA from 1 species